rnacentral:rRNA from 1 species
UACGGAGGGUGCAAGCGUUAUCCGGAAUCACUGGGCGUAAAGGGCGCGUAGGUGGUCUGUUAAGUCUGGCGUUAAAGCCUGGGGCUCAACCCCAGAUCAGCGUUGGAUACUGGCAGGCUAGACGGUUGGAGAGGCGAGUGGAAUUACCAGUGUAGCGGUGGAAUGCGUAGAUACUGGUAGGAACACCCAUUGCGAAGGCAGCUCGCUGGACAACACGUGACACUGAGGCGCGAAAGUGUGGGGAGCAAACCGGAUUAGAUACCCG